rnacentral:sRNA from 1 species
UACAAAUAAAAGAGUCAAAUAAAAGGGCUCUUGUAAAACUGUUUUAAUUUGUAAACAAUUAAUAUAUUACAAGUCUCCCAUAUAGAAACAGUAAUUGAUAAGUAAAUAUUCAACAUUUCACCAAUAUAAAUUAUGUACAAAGCAAACACACAACAGAAGCUAAGUAGAUGUAGGAGCAAGCACGUUGUAGUUCUAGAAGUGUAAGCAAGAUGUGACAGUGUUCACAGGUGUAAGCAAGAUGUGACAGUGUUCACAGGUGUAAGCAAGGUUUGACAGUGUUCACAGGUGUAAACAAGAUGUAAGUGUUCACAGGUGUAAGCAAAAUGUGACAGUGUUCACAGGUGUAAGCAAGGUGUGACAGUGUUCACAGGUGUAAGCAAGAUGUGACAGUGUUCACAGGUGUAAGCUUGAAACAUAUUCAGUUCAAUUGAAUAUAAUACUAGGUGGUGUAAUGCAGAGAAAAUGCAGAGACAAAGACAUCAAUAAAUAAUUGUGGUAACAGCGAUAGACAACUGUGUGGAUCAGUAGGCAAUAUACAGACAUCAUUAGGUAAGAAAAUACAGACAUCAGUAUCAGUAGGCAAGAAUAUGCAGACAUCAGUAUCAGUAGGCAAGAAUAUGCAGACAUCAGUUGGCAAUAAUAUACAGACAUCAGUUGGCAAGAGUAAACAGACAUCCGCAGGCAAGAAUAUACUGAUUUCAGUAGGCAAGAGUAUACCACCAUCAGUAGGCAAGACUAUACAGGCAUUAGUUGGCAAGAGUAAACAGACAUCAGCAGGCAAGAAUAUACUGAUACCAACAGGCAAGAAUAUAUCGACAUCAGUACGCAAGACUGCAGACAUCAGCUGACUAGAAAUUACUGACAUCAAUAGGCUAGACUAUACAGACUUAUACUGACACCAGUAUGCAAGAAUAUGAAGAAUUUAGUAGGCAAGAAUAUACAGACAUCAGUAGGGAAGAAUAUAAAGAAUUCAUUAGAAAUAGCUAUUGUAUGGAGACAUCAGUAGGAAAAAUGUGAAUAAUUCAGUAGUGUAUAUUUUAAGAGACAUCUUGAUGCUAAUAUAGUGACAUCAGCAAGGGUGUACGGAAAAAAGCAAACUAAAGAGUGUGGUAAACAGAAAGAUAUUGGUCUGUAAAUGUCAAGAGUAUAUUCAUACAUGUCUAAAUAUGGUGUGUAGUAGGCAAGUGUUGAUUUGAGAUUAUUAGGCAAACUGAGGUUUCUUUGAACCUGAUAGAUGAGAAUGACAUGAGAAUGAAAAAAAA